GGUAGAGCACAUGGCCGAACAUGUCAGAUCUUUCUAUUCCAAACAUGUUGGCCAGCCUACCAUGCAGCUCUUCAUAAGAACCAAGAACAGAUAAGUCAAGGGUCCGACCUACAUCCUCUGAUUCCAAGAAAACCUUGCACUGACCAGCAUCCAAGCCUGUUUCAGUGUUACGAAGAUUUUGCCAUGACAACCCAGUAUUGGCUGGCUUUUCUGGCAAAGUUUGCUUCUCAUGAGCAGAUCCUAAAACGUAAUGACAUUUUGCUUUUUCUAGACUCUCGUCAGACGAAAAUUUUCCACUGAGAACUUGUGAGACUGCAUCAGUGGAACAGCUAUGAGAAAUCUGCUGCUCAGUGAGUAUUGGUUGACCAAAAAGUAAAAAUUGGUGCGUCUUUACAUUAUCAGAUUUCUCAGAAUUUGUAUUAGAGUUCCCCAUCGUCAACAAGCAAGAUAAAUUCUCAUUGCUGUUUGUAUGGCCUUUCAUGAAACUUUCAGAAAUUCUAGAAUGUGAAUUGAACCGCUGGAGACCGGAUAAAAACAGCCCUGACUGCAUUUUGUUGUUAAGCUGGAGAUCUGAUAAAGAUAUUCCAAAUUGAGCAUGCCUGGCUCCCUGUAUG
rnacentral:misc_RNA from 1 species